rnacentral:rRNA from 1 species
GACGAACGCUGGCGGCGUGCUUAACACAUGCAAGUCGAACGGAAAGGUCCGGCUUUUGUGGGGUGGUCGAGUUGAGAAGGGGUGAGUAACACGUGAGUAAGGUGUCCUUGACUGAGGGAGAACUUAAGGAAAGUGGGGGUCAUAGCGGAUAAGAGCUCUUGCUGCAGGGUGGGGGUUGGUAGGUUUCGGCGGUUGGGGAUGGACUGGCGGAUUAUCGGCUUGUUGCAGGGGUAGUGGCGUACCAAGGCUUUGACGGGUAGCCGGGCUGAGAGGGUGACCUGCCCCAUUACGACUGAGCUGAGGCCCAGCCCACUACGGGACGCAACAGUGGAGAAUAUUGCAUAAUAGGCUGAAGCCUGAUGCAGUAACGCCGCGUCCGGGAUGACGUCAUUCGCGUUGUAAACCACUGUCGCCUUUCACGAAGCGUGAGUGACGGUAACGGGUAAAGAAGCACCGGCUAACUACGUG